rnacentral:rRNA from 1 species
AAAUACUACCCAGUGACCGAUAGCGUAUAGUACUGUGAAGGAAAGGUGAAAAGCACCCCGGGAGGGGAGUGAAAAAGAACCUGAAACCCUGUGCCUACAAGCACCUAGAGCACGUCAAAGUGUGAUAGGGUACUUUUUGUAGAACGGUCCGGCGAGCGAUUGUAUGCAGCAAGGUUAAGGACUUAAGGUCUGGAGCCGAAGCGAAAGCGAGUUUGAAAAGGGCGUUAAGUUGCAUACAAUGGGCCCGAAACCGGGUGACCUACCCAUGGUCAGGUUGAAGUGGAAGUAAAAUUCCAUGGAGGACCGAACCGACCUCCGUUGAAAAGGCGGCGGAUGAACUGUGGGUAGCGGAGAAAUUCCAAUCGAACCCGGAGAUAGCUGGUUCUCCCCGAAAUAGUUUUAGGACUAGCCUCAACUUAGAUAUCUGGAGGUAAAGCACUGAAUAGCCUAGCGGCCGAGAGGUUAGCGAAGCUUAUCAAACUCAGAAUGCCAGAAUAUUGAUGGUUGGGAGUCAGACAGUGUCAGAUAAAUGUCAUUGUCAAAAGGGAAACAGCCCAGAUCUACAGCUAAGGUCCCAAAGUCAGGUUAAGUGGAAAACGAUGUGAAGAUACGCAGACAACCAGGAUGUUGGCUCAGAAGCAGCCACUCAUUCAAAGAGUGCGUAAUAGCUCACUGGUCGAGCGUCUUUGCGCGGAGAAUUUAACGGGGCUAAACCUGGCACCGAAGCUUAGGCAAUCCAGUAAUGGAUUGGGUAGGGGAGCGUUGUAUACGCGGCGAAACAGUAGCGCAAGCGGCUGUGGAGUGUAUAGAAGUGAGAAUGCCGGAAUGAGUAGCGCGAAUGCAGUGAGAAUCUGCAUGGCCGAAAGCCUCAGGUUUCUGGAGGAAGGUUCGUCCGCUCCAGGUUAGUCGGGAGCUAAGGUGAGGCCUAACGGCGUAGCCGAUGCACAGACGGUAGAGAUUCCGUCACCACCAAAAGAGUUAAACACAGGGACACAUUUGAAGUCUCGGAGCCGGGUGUUGGUUCCGGUAGCGAUCGAGGGAAGUUAGUACCGAAGUCUGAGAUGGAAGAUGGCGAGAAAAGCUGUGUGUAUUUCUGAGGUGCCCGUACCGCAAACCGACACAGGUAGGUAGGAAGAAGAUUCUAAGGCCAACGGGAGAAGGGUUGUUAAGGAACUCGGCAAAUUGACCCCGUAACUUCGGGAGAAGGGGUGCUCCAGAGAUGGAGCCGCAGAGAAUCGGCCCAAGCAACUGUUUACCAAAAACACAGGUUUGUGCUAAAUCGAAAGAUGACGUAUACGAGCUGACGCCUGCCCGGUGCUGGAAGGUUAAGAGGAGAUGUGCAAGCAUUGAAUCGAAGCCCCAGUGAACGGCGGCCGUAACUAUAACGGUCCUAAGGUAGCGAAAUUCCUUGUCAGGUAAGUUCUGACCCGCACGAAAGGCGUAAUGAUUUGGGCACUGUCUCAACAGCCCGCCCGGCGAAAUUGUAGUACCGGUGAAGAUGCCGGUUACCCGCGACAAGACGGAAAGACCCCAUGGAGCUUUACUGUAGCCUAAUAUUGGGUUUCGAUGUUGCAUGCACAGGAUAGAUGGGACACAGGGAAACAAUCGCUUUGGCGGUUGCGGAGUGGCCGUUGGGAUACCAUCCUUGCGAUAUUGGAAUUCUAACCUGCGGCUCUGAAUCGAGUCGGGGGACAUUGUUAGGUGGGCAGUUUGACUGGGGCGGUCGCCUCCUAAAGAGUAACGGAGGCGUUCAAAGGUUCGCUCAGCUUGAACGGAAAUCAAGCAAAAGAGUGCAAACGCAGAAGCGAGCCUAACUGCGAGACUGACGGGUCGAGCAGUAACGAAAGUUGGAGUUAGUGAUCCGGUGGUAUGUGAGUGGAAAUGCCAUCGCUCAACGGAUAAAAGCUACCCUGGGGAUAACAGGCUGAUCUCCCCCAAGAGUCCACAUCGACGGGGAGGUUUGGCACCUCGAUGUCGGCUCAUCGCAUCCUGGAGCUGAAGUCGGUUCCAAGGGUUGGGCUGUUCGCCCAUUAAAGCGGUACGCGAGCUGGGUUCAGAACGUCGUGAGACAGUUCGGUCCCUAUCUGUCGUGGGCGCAGGAUAUUUGAUGGGAGCUGUCCCUAGUACGAGAGGACCGGGACGGACGUACCUCUGGCGCACCAGUUGUUCCGCCAGGAGCAUAGCUGGGCAACUACGUACGGAUCGGAUAAACGCUGAAAGCAUCUAAGCGUGAAGCCGACCCAAAGAUAAGAUAUCCCAUUGU